AGGACUACCUAAAAUGUCACCGGAUGUGACAGUAAAACAGUUUCAAUGGAUUGUAUUUAACAGUUUUUUAUUCUUAAAUAUAUUUGUAAAAUAUCAUGCGAUAUUCUUUCUAAGAUUGAAUUAUUUUCGAGAGCUCUGAGCUGUCCGGCGUCUGUUCAUUUAAUGUCCUCCUUCGACUACCAGUCUGCGCUUCAGAACUCUGCCGCCAGCACAGAUUUGUGAUAAGGUGGUUGCUAUUGUGUCGGUGUGUUGUAGUAUAGUUAUGGAUACCAUGAUCUACAACUAAUUUUAUCCUUAGUUUCUGUGGAGACGAUUCACAAGAAAUAGUUGGCUUUACAUGAGGAUCGUAAGAGUGGAGUUAAAUAGCUCAGUGGUUAAUAUGCUUGCCUUCUGAUCCCAGGAUCUUGUGUUCAAUCCCUGCCACAGCAGGAAAUUUCUCACGACGAAAAACAACCCCACACCUUAAGCCUCGUAUACAGCAUCAUUCUCAUUAAGUGGCGAGUGCACAUGUUGCUGGAUGUGAAGGAAAAAAAAGUUCCAGGGACAUGGUAUUAUGUGGACGCUUGUACUGACCAGUGUGAAUUUAUGCAAUAAUGUAUAGAAGCACCUAAGUGCCAUUCGACUUGACGACUUGUCAAGAUAAUUAUGUUGUCAAGUCGACAUAAUAUACAUAUCAUGUUGACAUGAAGAAGAAAAAUGAUUUGACGGAAGUUAAUCAUGAAUACGCUCACGAAUAUUUGUGGAUAUAUUACCAAUGAAAUUAAACUGUACCGUUAGAAGUCUUGGAUAAUCAAGAGAAAUUUUGCAACUGCGCUUACGAAAUCGUUUGCUUGUAGCUACAGUAGCCCGUUUUCGAAUACCUGUUUUACAGUGUGCUGCGUUUGACGUCCUUUGAGGGAAAACCCCUUUAACUCUCGUGAGGGCGUAAACCAGAAAAAGAUCGUUAUGAAAAAUUAUUCCUAUCGAGAUCAACAUAAGCACUACCAUAAGAUUUCAGGAAGUUUCUAAAUGAAGGAAAUAUAAUUCGAGCAUGUCAUGCAGGCUGUGUGGCGUAGGCUUCAAAAUGUGUCAGUGCUGGCUACAAUGAGGACUCACACGACACAGGCUACAGAGAAGUGUAUGCAUGGAGAAUGGUAAGGAUUGAUCAUGGUAGGCUCUGUGUAAUACAACAGUGAUGAGUUUGUCAUCAUCCUCUUUAACCUUUCAAUUUCAGCGUAAUCAUCUAAUAAAUAAUAUAACCAUUUAUAUAGCGCUCAUUACUCAGGUGUUAAAUCAAGAUAAACAAGGCAUCUGCAGGAUGUCACAGCGCUUUAUGUAAAAGAAUUAUUGAAUAAGAUGCGUUUAGAGGGCCGACUUAAAUUUUUUUAAACGUGGGACUUGUCGAACUUCACCACAUGGUUCGUUCAAAAGAGACGGUGUCGAAGCACAGAAGCCUUUGACAGCCGUGAAAUUUGAAAGGUUGGUCUUAUAUAGGUACAUGUCAUCUUAGCUUUGUCAAUAAAUUUAUAGUAAUAAGUAAUUAUACGUAAAAUAAAAUAAUUUUUUUAAUUUAAUUGUUAACGAAAUAUUUAAUACUACUAUUUUAACAAAUACUUUUUGUAUACCAUUUAAUGUCAAUACCAAAUACAGUCUUCAGGCGGAUGUGUACAACUGAUGUUAUUUCAAGGAAAACAUAUCAUUAAUUAAGAAGCAAAUUCGUAGUGAUUAAAUGGGCCUAUUGUCUAGAUGGGAGAUUGUUUAUCUUCAUUGGUUUCUUAGCAGGAAUUUCCUCCUGUGCCUACAAAUGUAUGUUACCGUAAUUCAUUUCAGAAAUUGAAUGAUGAAUAAAAAAGACUUUAAACGCAA